CAGUCGCCGCGGUAAUACGGAGGGAGCUAGCGUUAUUCGGAACUACUGGGCGUAAAGCGCACGUAGGCGGCUUUGUAAGUUAGAGGUGAAAGCCCGGAGCUCAACUCCGGAAUUGCCUUUAAGACUGCCGAGCUAGUAGGUGAGAGAGGUAAGUGGAACUCCGAGUGUAGAGGUGAAAUUCGUAGAUAUUCGGAAGAACACCAGUGGCGAAGGCGGCUUACUGGCUCAUUCUAGACGCUGAGGUGCGAAAGCGUGGGGAGCAAACAGGAUUAGAUACCCGCGUAGUCCCUGUCUCUUAUAA
rnacentral:rRNA from 1 species